UCCCUUGAUUUUAGCGGCGGACGGGGUGACGAAACACGUGAGGUAACCUGCCUGUAAGACUGGGAUAACUCCGGGAAACCCGGGAGCUAAUACCGGGAUGGUUGUUUGAACCGCAUGGUUCAAACAUAAAAGGUGGCUUCGGCUACCACUUACAGAUGGACCCGCGGGCGCAUUAGCUAGUUGGUGAGGUAAUGGCUCACCAAGGCAACGAUGAGUAGCCGACCUGAGAGGGUGAUCGGCCACACUGGGACUGAGACACGGCCCAGACUCCUACGGGAGGCAGCAGUAGGGAAUCUUCCGCAAUGGACGAAAGUCUGACGGAGCAACGCCGCGUGAGUGAUGAAGGUUUUCGGAUCGUAAAGCUCUGUUGUUAGGGAAGAACAAGUACCGUUCGAAUAGGGCGGUACCUUGACGGUACCUAACCAGAAAGCCACGGCUAACUACGUGCCAGCAGCCGCGGUAAUACGUAGGUGGCAAGCGUUGUCCGGAAUUAUUGGGCGUAAAGGGCUCGCAGGCGGUUUCUUAAGUCUGAUGUGAAAGCCCCCGGCUCAACCGGGGAGGGUCAUUGGAAACUGGGGAACUUGAGUGCAGAAGAGGAGAGUGGAAUUCCACGUGUAGCGGUGAAAUGCGUAGAGAUGUGGAGAAACACCAGUGGCGAAGGCGACUCUCUGGUCUGUAACUGACGCUGAGGAGCGAAAGCGUGGGGAGCGAACAGGAUU
rnacentral:rRNA from 1 species